rnacentral:rRNA from 1 species
AGUACCUACGGGGGGCAGCAGUGGGGAAUUUUGGACAAUGGGCGAAAGCCUGAUCCAGCUAUGCCGCGUGAGUGAAGAAGGCCUUCGGGUUGUAAAGCUCUUUCGGUUGGGAAGAAGUUUAUCUGUUUAAGAGAUGGAUAGAUUGACGGUACCGACAGAAGAAGCACCGGCUAACUACGUGCCAGCAGCCGCGGUAAUACGUAGGGUGCGAGCGGUAAUCGGAAUUACUGGGCGUAAAGGGUGCGCAGGCGGCUACAUAAGUGGGAUGUGAAGUCCCCGGGCUUAACCUGGGAAUUACGUUUGAA